UUUUUUUUGGUGAAAUUCCAAUUCCAAUCGAUUCCAGUUCCAGGAUCCAAUAUCAUCGCAUAGACUAUACCAUGUUGAUUUUCCCUUCAAAGAUAAAGGGAAAACCUUCUUGUUAGCUUCAUCUCUGGAUAAACCUGCAAGCUUAAAUAAUCCACAAGUUUCAUCCCCAUAUAUCAAGUGCAUAUCAGGAUGUUCAGUUCCAUCUCCUGCAUAAGGAUUGGCUAGAAGUUGUUCUAUCAUACCCGAAGGAAUUUCAUAACCAAUAUUUUAAUAGGUGCAGUAGGUCGAGGGGCAACUAAUUGUGCUUCCGGUCGACAUGAAGAUACCCCGAACAAACCCCUCAAAGGAUGGUUUUCCGUAGUAGCAAGUGACAAUAAAUUUCAGCAUGUAGUAAUAAUUGUUCCUUACCAAUUUACACUUACCAAGAGCACUUCACUCCACGGCAACGGCGCCAGAAAAGAGUCUUGAUGACCCACAAGCAUAGGGGACCAAUCAUAGUCCUUUUGAUAAGUAAGAGUGUCGAACCCAACGAGGAGCAGAAGGAACUAGCAAGUGGUUUUCAGCAAGGUAUUUUAUGCAAGCACCGAAAUAGUCAGCAACAGGUAGUUUAAUAGCAAGAUAAUUUGUAACGCACAAGUAACUGUAAUGGUAAAUAAAGUGCAGCAAGGUAGACCAAUCCUUUUGUGGCAAAGGACAGGCCAAAAUGGUCACUUAUAAUAAGCAAAGCGUUCUUGAGGGUACACGGGAAUUUCAUUUAGUCACUUUCAUCAUGUUGGUCUGAUUCGCGUUCGCUACUUUGAUAAUUUGAUAUGUGGGUGGACUGGUGCUUGGGUGCUGUUCUUACUUGAACAAACCUCCCACUUAUGAUUAACCCCCUCGCAAGCAUCCACAACAAUGAGAAAAGUAUUAAGAUAAUAUCUAACCAUAGCAUUAAACAUUUGGAUCCAAAUCGGUCCCUUACGAAGUAGCGCAUAAACUAGGGUUUAAGCUUCUAUCACUCUAGCAACCCAUCAUCUAAUAACUACUCCACAAUGCAUUCCCUUAGGCCCAAAUAUGGUGAAGUGCCAUGUAGUCAACAUUCACAUGACACCACUAAGGGAAUCACAACAUACAUAUCAUCAAAAUAUCGAACAUACACUACAAAAAAAUACACUUCCGUGAUGAUACGUGUUUGUCACAGUAGGUCACGUUUUAUGUCAUGCAUGUACAUCCAUGACGAUUUUAUGGCAGAAUCAAGAUAGUCAUACAUGUGCUGUCGUAGAAGUCUUCCAUGACAUUACCAAAAUUAUCAUCACGGAAGUGUUCACUUCCAUGACGAUAAAUGCCGCGUCAUGGAAGUGCUUUCAUCAAGGGUGACCGACACGUGGCAUCCACCAUAACGGGUCGCCGUUAAGCGAUCGGGUCCGGUUUUGGAUCCAAUAACCCGCUAACAGCCACGACCAAUGACGAUUUUCCACUUGUAAAAUUCUCAUUGACCGACGGAACCACGUGUCAGCUCCGCGUUGGUACGGGUGUCACUCAUCCAAUGGGCGAGAUGCACCUAUGAUAUGUUGACACGUGGACCGGCCCAAAAGUGGCCCAUAAAGAUUAAAUGGGCCAGCCCAACUAAAGGCCCACGAGAUUUCGCCAACCAUAACAGGCCAGCCCAGCUAAAGGCCCACGAGAUUUCGCCGACCAUAAUGGGGCGGCCCAGCUAAAGGCCCACGAGAUUUCGCUGACCAUAAUGGGCCAGCCCAGCUAAAGGCCCACAAGAUUUUGAGGACACUAAUGGGCCGGCUCAUUAAGAGGCUGCUUUGUUUUGGGCCAAAUGCUGGCCAUAAUUGAUCUGAUCCAUUAACAGCCUGCCAAGUUCCGGGCCCAAUAAAGGCCCAUAUGAGAUCCGGCCCGUUAAAAGCCUACCACGUUCUGGGCCAAAUUGCGGCCCAGAUCAGAUCCGGCCCUUUAAGAGGCUUUGGGCUAAAUUAUGGCCCAUAUCAGAUUCGACUCGUCAACUGGACACUAUGCUUUUGGGCCCACAUGCUAAAGGCCCAUUUAGUAAUUCGGACUGAUAUAAGUUUCGCCCUGUUAAAGGCAUGUUUAACAUUUUGGCCCUAUAUUUAUUUUGGCCUGUUAAAAGCCCGUCAUAUAGUUGGGCCUAACUACAGCCCGGUUUGCAUUCGGCCUGCUCACAGCCGAUAAUCUGAUUGGGCCAAACAAGGACCGAGACAAUUUUAGCAUGUUAAUGGCCCAUGAUGUGAUUGACGCAAUAAUGGGCCGGGGUCUACUUCGGCCUGUUGCUGGCCUGUGAGCUGUUCGACACGUUUUAGGCCCAACCUACUUUUCAUCCUCCUAAAAGCCCAUUGAGUUUCCUUGCGAAAAUAGGGCCGGCGGUUUACUCGGCCUAUUAGAGACACAAAUCUACUAGUGGGCCAGUUUACAUUUAGGCCUGUUAACGGACCAAUUAUGUAGUGAUUUGCAUGACGCCUCGAUUAUGUACCAUAAUUUUAUGGUUUGGCCGGUUUACUGGGAAGACAGGAUAUAUAUACAAUAAAAUAACUAUAGCAUCAUGAAUAAGAAAAAACCUAGACUAUACAAUAAAGAAAUUACAACAUAUUACAUCCACUGGGCAUCAAAGUUCGCCACUAUGAUAUAGCACAAGCAGACAAAGAUUACAUACACUGGGCAUCAAAGAUCGCCACCAGUGCAAAUAAACACGCUGACAAAAUAAUAUACAAAACCGAUAGCACUUGAAUAGAGUUGAAGAAAGGAUAGCCCUGCUCGGGAGCUGCAGCGCAAGCAGCUGAGCAAGCUGGUGAGACUACGCUUGUUUGACACUUAUAUCCUCCUCACUCAGAAAGAUAAACAAGCAGACAGAUGACAGGUUUUGCACAUAUAAGUAUUAGUGCUGACAAUUCAUCACAUUUCUUACUAACGAAUAAAGUGACAUAGUUUAAAAUAGCAUUAACACAAUAUGGUAUUGUUCUAAUCUGCGAGUGUGUUUCAUGAAUGGAUCAAUGAUUGAGCAUGAUGGGCUAGGAAUAACUUUCUUUAGUGUUGAUAUUUUGAAAGACAUGGUUGCUUGUUGGUAUGCUUGAGUAUUGAAACCUUCAUGUCAAAACUAGACUAUUGCUUUGAACCAUAUAAAAUUCCAAAUGUCCAUGCUACAAAAGAAAACAAUAUGUGAUGAACAUGUUAGGCAGCAUUCCACAUCAAAAAUUCUGUUUUUAUCAUUCUACCUACUCGAGGACGAGUAGGAAUUAAGCUCUGGGAUGUUUAUACGUCUCCAACGUAUCUAUAAUUUUUGCUUGUUCCAUGCUAUUAUAUUAUCAUUCUUGGAUGUUUUACAAUCAUUUUAUAGCAACUUUAUAUCAUUUUUGGGACAAACUAUUGACAUAGUGCCCAGUGCCAGUUGUUGUUUUUUGCUUGUUUUUUACUUCGUAGAGUAUCAGUACCAAACGGAGUCCAAACGCAACGAAACUUUUUAGAGAAAUUUUAUGGACCUGAAGGAACAACAUGGGCCAAAGAAGUACUAGAGGGGUGCCCCGAGGGGGGUGAUACGUCUCCAACGUAUCAAUAAUUUUUUAUUGUUCCAUGCUGUUAUAUUAUCAUUCUUGGAUGUUUUACAAUCAUUUUAUAGCAACUUUAUAUCAUUUUUUGGGACUAACCUAUUGCCAUAGUGCCCAGUGCCAGUUGUUGUUUUUUGCUUGUUUUUUACAAUGAAUAAAAUCAAUACCAAACAGAGUCCAAACGCAACAAAACUUUUUGGAGAUUUUUUUGGACCAGAAGACAUGCAGUGGGCCAAAAAAUUGCCAGAGGGGUGCCCCGAGGGGUCAAAACCCACCUGGGCGCGCCUGGGCCGAUGGGUUGUGCCCACCUCGGUGGCCUCCCGCACCGCCUCUUCGCCCUGUAAAUUCUGAAAUAUUCCAAAAACCCUGGGGAUAACCCUAGAUCGAAAGUUCCGCCGCUACAAGCCUCUGUAGCCACAAAAAACCAAUUGGGAGCCCGUUCCGGCACCCUGCCGGAGGGGGAAAUCAUCUCCAGGGGCCAUCUUCAUCAUUCUUGUGGCCACCAUGAUGAGGAGGGAGUAGUCCACCCUCGGGGCUGACUGUUUGUACCAGUAGCUAUGUGUUUAAUCUCUCUUUCUCUCUCUCUCUCGUGUUCUUGAGAUGGCAUGAUCUUGAUGUAUCGUGGGCUUUGUUAAUAUAGUUGGAUCAUAUAGUGUUUUCCCCUCUCUAUCUUGUUGUGAUGAAUUGAGUUUUCCCUUUGAGAUUUUGUUUUAUCGGAUCGAAUACUUUUAUGGAUAUGAGAGCACUUAAUAUAUGUCUUGCAUAUGAAUACCCGUGGUGACAAUGGGGUAUUAUAUUGAUUCACUUGAUAUAUGUUUUGGCACUCAACUCGCGGAUUCUCAAGGUGACAUUGGGGUAAUGUAUGCAUAGGGGUUGAUGCAUGUUUUCGUCCUUGUUUCUCUGGUAGAAAUCUUGGGGCACUCUUUGAGGUUCUUUAUGUUAGAUUGAGUAUUAUGAAUCUGAAAUUGUUUGAUGCAUAUUGUAUAAUCAACUCACGGAUACUCGCGGUGACAUUGGAGUAUCUAGGUGACAUUAGAGUUGGUUGAUGUGUAUCAUAUGGUGUUAUUUUAGUAUGAACUCUUGGUUAGAUCGAUCGAAAAGAAUAGCUUGGUGUUAUUUUAGUACAAACUCUAGGAUAGAUUGAUCGGAAAGAAUAGCUUUGAGGUGGUUUCGUACCCUACAAACAAUUAUGUCUUAUGUUCUCCGCAAGAUAAGAACUUGAGAGUGAUUCUUCAUCGCACGUUGAGGGAUGGUUAUAUGAUCCAAUUAGAUUAGCAUUGUUGAGAGAUUGCACUAUUGAAAGUACAGACCCUAGGCCUCAUUUUCAAUCAUUGCAAUACUGUUUGUGCUCCGUUUUAUCAAUUGCUACCUUUUUUUAUUGUUCCUAUAGCAAAAAUCAAUAUCUACUAUCAUUACUACACUUGUAACACCAUCUCUUCGCCAAACUAGUGCACCUAUACAAUUUACUAUUGUAUUUGGUGUGUUGGGGACACAAGAGACUUUUUGUUAUUUGGUUGCAGGGUUGUUUGAGAGAGACCAUCUUCAUCCUACACCUCCUACGGAUUGAUAAACCUUAAAUCAUCCACUUGAGGGAAAAUUGCUACUGUCCUACAAAACUCUGCGCUUGGAGGCCCAACACAAGCCUACAAGAACAAGUUGUGUAGUAGACAUCAGGGGGCACAACCCACCUGGGCGCGCCUAGGGACCUAGGCGCACCCUGGUGGGUUGUGCACACCUCGGUGGCCUCCCUCACCGCCUCUUCGCUCUAUAAAUACCCCAAUAUUCCAGAAACCCUAAGGGAGUCGACAAAAACAAUUCCAGCCGCCGCAAGUUCCAGAACCACCAGAUCCAAUCUAGACACCAUCAUGGAGGGGUUCAUCAUCCUCAUUGGUGUCUCUCCGAUGAUUCGUGAGUAGUUCAUCAUAGACCUACGGGUCUGCAGGCAGUAGCUAGAUGGCUUCCUCUCUCUCUCUCUCUCUCUUGAUUCUCAAUACAAUGGUCUCUUGGAGAUCCAUUUGAUGUAACUCCUUUUUGCGGUGUGUUUGUUGGGAUCCGAUGAACUUUGAUUUUAUGAUCAGAUCUAUAUCCAUGAAUAUUAGUUGAGUAUUCUUUGAUCUCUUAUAUGCAUGAUUACUUAUAGCCUCGUAUUUCUUCUUCGAAUCUUUGGUUUAGUUAGGCCAACUAGAUAGAUUCUUCUUGCCAUGGGAAGAGGUGCUUUGUGAUGGGUUCGAUCGUGGGAUGUUCUUUCCCAGUGACAAAAGGGGCAGCAAGACACGCAUGUAUCGUUGCUAUUAAGGAUAACAAGAUGGGGGCUAUUUCUACAUGAAUAGAUCUCGCCUACAUCAAGUCAUCAUUCUUAUUGCAUUACUCUGUUUCUCCAUGAACUUAAUACACUAGAUGCAUGCUGGAUAGCGGUCGAUGUGUGGAGUAAUAGUAGUAGAUGCAGGCAGGAGUCGGUCUACUAAUCUUGGACAUGAUGCCUAUAUAAUGAUCAUUGUCUGGAUAUCAUCAUAAUUAUUUGAGGUUCUAUCAAUUGCCCAAAAGUAAUUUAUUUACCCAUCGUAUGCUAUUUUUCUCGAGAGAAGCCCCUAGUGAAAUCUACGGCCUCCGGGUCUAUUCUCCAUCAUAUUUGCUUUGAGAUCUAUUUUUAUUCGCUUUUAUUUUCAGAUCUAUAUUAUCAACAAACCCAAAAAUAUCUUGCUGCAUUUUUUAUUACUUGUUUUAUUUCAUUUUAUCAAGAUCUAUUUAUCCAAUCUAUACAAUGUUUAUCCCGUCAACUAGAAAAUUUCUGGCACCGUUACCCGUUGAGGGAUUGACAAUCCCUCAUAACCGUCAGGUUGCAAGUAUUUGUUCUUUGUAUGCAGGUACCAUUUACAUAGUGUUGCUUGGUUCUCCUACUGGAUUGAUAUCUUGGUUUCAUAACUGGGGGAAAUACCUACCGUAGUUGUGCUGCAUCAUCCCUUCCUCUUUGGAGAAAUACCGACAUAGUUCAAGUGACAUCAAAAGGAAUUUCUGGCGCCGUUGCCGGGGAUACAUCAUCAAUAUCUAUAAGGUUCCUAAUCACAAAUCUCAUCUCCUUGCAAUUUACAUUUGCCAUUUUCCUCUUGUUUNNNNNNNNNNNNNNNNNNNNNNNNNNNNNNNNNNNNNNNNNNNNNNNNNNNNNNNNNNNNNNNNNNNNNNNNNNNNNNNNNNNNNNNNNNNNNNNNNNNNNNNNNNNNNNNNNNNNNNNNNNNNNNNNNNNNNNNNNNNNNNNNNNNNNNNNNNNNNNNNNNNNNNNNNNNNNNNNNNNNNNNNNNNNNNNNNNNNNNNNNNNNNNNNNNNNNNNNNNNNNNNNNNNNNNNNNNNNNNNNNNNNNNNNNNNNNNNNNNNNNNNNNNNNNNNNNNNNNNNNNNNNNNNNNNNNNNNNNNNNNNNNNNNNNNNNNGCCCUCUUUUUCGUUCGCCAUUUCAUAACUGAGGGAAAUACCUACCGUAGUUGUGUUGCAUCAUCCCUUCCUCUUUUGGGAAAUACCGACGUAGUUCAUGCGACAUCAAUGUCAUCUAUGAGUCUCUAGUACAACAUAUGUUCUAUGUCCUAAGAUCUGAGCUGGAGCAUUUACUCGGGAUGGUGACAUACCUGCUUUGGGCCGACCAAACGCUACUCCAUGACUGGGUAGUUACAAAGGUAGGUUCGGGCUUGUCCAGACCCAUGCUGCGAGACAUGGUCGAGCAAGAUGGGAUUUGCCUCUCUGAUCAGGAGAGAUGCACUCUGGGCCCUUUGUGUGAUCCGACCAAGAUAAGCAUGGCCAUGCGACAAGGAUUAUGAGAUAAUCCAAUUUGUGGUCGGCAUCACAGGAACGAGAAAGAGGUUGGACUAGCACAAGGAUGGCAGACUCGCCUUAAGCUCGACAACAUAUAUCGUGGCAAAGGGAAUAGAAGUGUGACACAUUGUACAGGUUUGCCUAACCAGCUUCAUCGAACACUUGGAGUUGGCACGCUUUGCUAGAGGCCGCUACUGACUAGACGAGUUGGAUGUGAUCUGACUCCCGACCAAGUGAACAAGAACCUAAGAGGUCGCAUGCUUAAGGGAAGGAACCUGUGAGGCCCAAUCCGACUCCAUGAGUUAGAUGUAAUCCUACUCGGACUCGGAUCCAGGACGAACGGUCUUUGGGCUUUAGGAUCCAUGAGAUGGCCAAGUGUUGAGCCUACGACGGAUGCCUAUAUAUAGUAGGGGUGCGGCACACUCAUUCGGUUGAUCGCUUCGGCACUGUUACUAGGUCUUGCAUGUCUUUCAAAUAGCUACCUCCACCCGCCGCCGACUGUGUUAUUGGACCUAGCAGUCCGUCGCACAGUGUUCCUCCUGCACGUGCGAAUACCAUUAGAGGUGGUGCACUUGCACCGCUCCGGCGCACCUGUAUGUGGGAUCUGACGACCGGCUGUUCGAGGAAGACCGGACGAGGAGGAGAUGAACCACGCGGACGCGCUGCCCCAACUCUUCUUCCGCUGCAUGGCACUGCGCGUCAAGUGGUAACGAUCUGUGAUCCAUCUCCCAUAGCAUGUUCUUGGUUGUUCUGCGCGUAGGAAAAUUUUAUUUUACGGUCGACGCACCCUACCAUAGAUCCCUACAAUACUUCCCUCUAGGAGGUGGAAGUAGAAGUCAACGACAUCACCAACGAUCGUCUCAUCGUGAGACGACCAAUCUUCAUCAACAUCUUCACCAGCACCAUCUCAUCUCAAACCCUAGUUCAUCUCUUGUAUUCAAUCUUUUUUCCAAAACCUCAUAUUGGUACCUACGGGUUGCUAGUAGUGUUGAUUACAUCUUAUAGUUGAUGCUAGUUGGUUUAUUUGGUGAAAGAUUAUAUGUUCAGAUCCUUAAGCAUAUUCAAUACACUUUUGAUCUUGAACAUGAAUAUGAUUUGCGAGUAGUUACUUUUGUUCUUGAGGACAUGGGAGAAGUCUUGUUAUAAGUAAUCAUGUGAAGUUGGUGUUCGUUCAAUAUUUUGAUGAUAUGUAUGUUGUUCUUCGUUUAGUGGUGUCAUUUGAACAUCAACUACAUGACACUUCACCAUACUUGGGCCUAAGGGAAGGCAUUGGGGAGUAAUAAGUAGAUGAUAGGUUGCGAGAGUGACAGAAGCUUAAACCCUAGUUUAUGUGUUAUUCCGUAAGCGGCUGAUUUGGAUCCAUAUGUUUCAUGCUAUGGUUAGAUUUAUCUUAGUUCUUCUUUCGUAGUUGCAGCAGCUUGCUAGAGGGCGUAAUCAUAAGAGGGUUGCUUGUUCAACUAAGAACAUCACCGUAGCACUGGUCCACCCACAUAUCAAAUUAUCAAAGUAGCGAACAGAAAUCAACUAAACAUGGUGAACGUGACUAGACGAGAAUGUUGGGGAACAUAGCAUGCAAUUUCCAAAAAAUUCCUACGAUCACGCAAGAUUUAUCUAGGAGAUGCAUAGCAACGAGCGGGGGAGAGUGUGUCCACGUACCCUAGUAGACCGAAAGCAGAAGCGUUAGUUUAACAUGGUUGAUGUAGUCGAACGUCUUCACGAUCCAACAGAUCAAGUACCGAACGUACGGCACCUCCGAGUUCACCACACGUUCAGCUCGAUGAUGUCCCUCAAACUCUUGAUCCGGCAGAGGGUCGAGGGCGAGUUUUGUCAGCACGACAGCAUGGUGACGGUGAUGGUGAUGUGAUCCGCGCAGGGCUUCGCCUAAGCACUACGAUGCUAUGACCGGAGGAGUAAACUGUGGAGGGGGGCAUCGCACACGGCUAAGAGAACAAUUGAUGUCCUAUGGGGUGCCCCCCUACCCCUGUAUAUAAAGGAGGAGGGGAGGAAGCCGGCCACAAGGGGGCGCCAUGGGGGGGAGUCCUACUAGGACUCCAAACCUAGUAGGAUUCGGCCCACCUUUUUUUUCCUUCUUCCAAAGGGGGGAAGGGGAAAGGAGAGGGAGGAAGAAAGGGAAAGGGGGUGCGCCCCCUCCCCUAGUCCAAUUCGGACUCCCCAUGGAAGGGGGCGCGACCACCCCUUGUGGGCUGCCUCCUCUCUCACGUAUGGCCCAUAGUGGCCCAUUACUUUCCCCGGGGGGUUUCAGUAACCUCCCGGUACUCUGAAAAAUACCCGAAACGAUCUGGAACCAGUCCGAUGUCCGAAUACUAUCAUCCAAUAUAUCAAUAUUUACCUCUCGACCAUUUCGAGACUCCUCGUCAUGUCCGUGAUCUCAUCCGGGACUCCGAACAAUCUUCGGUCACCAAAACACAUAACUCAUAAUACAAAUCGUCAUUGAAUGUUAAGCAUGCGGACCCUAUGGGUUCGAGAACUAUGUAGACAUGACCAAGACAUAUCUCCGAUCAAUAACCAACAGUGGAACUUGGAUGCUCAUAUUGGUUCCUACAUAUUCUACGAAGAUCUUUAUUGGUCAAACCGCAUGACAACAUACGUCAUUCCCUUUGUCAUCGAUAUGUUACUUGCCCAAGAUUCGAUCGUCGGUAUCUUCAUACCUAGUUCAAUCUCGUUACCAGCAAGUCUCUUUACUCGUUCCGUAAUGCAACAUCCCGCAACUAACUCAUUAGUCACAUUGCUUGCAAGGCUUAUCAUGAUGUGCAUUACCAAGAGGGCCCAGAGAUACAUCUCCUAUGUUUGGAGUGACAAAUCUUGAUCUCGAUCUAUGCCAACCCAACAAACACCUUCGGAGACACCUAUAGAGCAUCUUUAUAAUCACCUAGUUAUGUUGUGACGUUUGAUAGCACACAAGGUGUUCCUUCGGUAUUCGGGAGUUGCAUAAUCUCAUAGUCAAAGGAAUAUGUAUAAGUCAUGAAGAAAGCAAUAGCAAUAAAACUUAAUGAUCAUUAUGCUAGGCUAACGGAUGGGUCUUGUCCAUCACAUCAUUCUCCUAAUGAUGUGAUCCCGUUCAUCAAAUGACAACACAUGUCUAUGGUCAGAAAACUUAACCAUCUUUGAUUAACGAGCUAGUCAAGAAGAGGCAUACUAGGGACACUCUGUUUUGUCUAUGUAUUCACACAUGUAUCAAGUUUCCGUAUAAUACAAUUCUAGCAUGAAUAAUAAACAUUUAUCAUGAUAUAAGGAAAUAUAAAUAACAACUUUAUUAUUGCCUCUAGGGCAUAUUUCCUUAAGUCUCCCACUUGCACUAGAGUCAAUAAUCUAGAUUACAUUGUAAUGAUUCUAACACCCAUGGAGUCUUGGUGAUGAUCAUGUUUUGUUCGUGGAAGAGGCUUAGUCAAUGGGUCAGCAACAUUCAGAUCUGUAUGUAUUUUGCAAAUCUCUAUGUCUUCCUCCUUGACUUGAUCGCGGAUUGAGUUGAAGCGUCUCUUGAUGUGUUUGUGAUACGUCUCCAACGUAUCUACUUUUCCAAACACUUUUGCCCUUGUUUUGGACUCUAACUUGCAUGAUUUGAAUGAAACUAACCCGGACUGACGCUGUUUUCAGCAGAACUACCAUGAUGUUGUUUUAUGUGUAGAAAAGAAAAGUUCUCGGAAUGUCCUGAAAAUCCACGGAGGCACUUUUUGGAAUUAAUAAGAAUUUUUGGCGAAAGAAUCAAGACCAGGGGCCAGGGCCUGUCCACGAGACAGGGGGCGCCCCCCCCUGUAGGGCACGCCCCCUAUCUCGUGGGCCCCCUGGACCUCCACCGACCUCAACUCCAACUCCAUAUAUUCAUGUUCGGGGAGAAAAAAAUCAGAGACAAAGUUUCAUCGCGUUUUACGACACGGAGCCGCCGCCAAGCCCUAAUCUCUCUCAGGAGGGCUGAUCUGGAGUCCGUUCGUGGCUCCGGAGAGGGGGAUUCGUCGCUAUCGUCAUCAUCAACCAUCCUCCAUCACCAAUUUCAUGAUGCUCACCGCCGUGCGUGAGUAAUUCCAUCGUAGGCUUGCUGGACGGUGAUGGGUUGGAUGAGAUUUACCAUGUAAUCAAGUUAGUUUUGUUAGGGUUUGAUCCCUAGUAUCCACUAUGUUCUGAGGUUGAUGUUGCUAUGACUUUGCUAUGCUUAAUGCUUGUCACUAGGGUCCGAGUGCCAUGAUUUCAGAUCUGAACCUAUUAUGUUUUCAUGAAUAUAUGUGUGUUCUUGAUCCUAUCUUGCAAGUCUAUAGUCACCUAUUAUGUGUUAUGAUCCGACAACCCCGAAGUGACAAUAAUCGGGAUACUUCUCGGUCAUGGCCGUAGUUUGAGGAGUUCAUGUAUUCACUAUGUGCUAAUGCUUUGUUCCAGUUCUCUAUUAAAAGUAGGCCUUAAUAUCCCUUAGUUUCCGCUAGGACCCCGCUUCCACGGGAGGGUAGGACAAAAGAUGUCAUGCAAGUUCUUUUCCAUAAGCACGUAUGACUAUUUACGGAAUACAUGCCUACAUUACAUUGAUGAAUUGGAGCUAGUUCUAUAUCACCCUAUGUUAUAACUAUUGCAUGAGGAAUCGCAUCCGGCAUAAUUAUCCAUCACUGAUCCAUUGCCUACGAGCUUUUCAUAUAUUGUUCUUCGCUUAUUUACUUUUUUGUUGCUACUGUUACAACUACUACAAAAACCCAAAAACAUUUAUCUUUACUUUUGCUACCGUUACCUUUAUUAUCAUACCACUUUUGCUACUAAAUACUUUGCUGCAGAUACUAAGUUAUCCAGGUGUGGUUGAAUUGACAACUCAACUGCUAAUACUCAAGAUUAUUCUUUGGCUCCCCUUGUGUCGAAUUAAUAAAUUUGGGUUGAAUACUUUACCCUCGAAAGCUGUUGCGAUCCCCUACACUUGUGGGUUAUCAAGACUAAUUUCUGGCGCCGUUGCCGGGGAGCAUAGCUCUAUUCUCGGAGUCACUUGGGAUUUAUAUCUGUUGAUCGCUGUGAAGAACUUGAAAGACGCUAAAACCAAGAUUUUGCCCUCAACUACGAGGGGGGGUAAGGAACUGCCAUCUAGCUCUGCACAAGAUUCUCCUUCCGUUAUUAGUAAGCUUGCGACACCUAAACCUGCUACUGCUAUGAAUUCUGAUAUGUCGCAUGUUAUUGGUGAUGCCACUUCUGCUAUGCAUGAUGAAACUACUUUUGUGCGUGAUACUACUUUGCCAUUAGGUGAAUUUCUUGAUGAACACCUUGCUAGAGUUAGGGGGAAUGAAAUUACUGAAGAUCCUAUUACUGAUGAUAGUGAUGAUGAAGGUUCUCCCAAUGAUUAUGUAUUGCCUGUUGUUCCUAAGGGUUAUGUUAUGAAUGAAGAAGCUGCUAGGGAAAUCUUUGCUUGAAAUGAUAGAUAUGAUCUUAAGAAAUUAUUAGCUAAAUGGAAGCAGCAGUCUCUUAAUGCUAGAAUGAAACCCGAUCCUGCUUUUGCUACUUCACCUAUCUGUGUUACUGAUAAGGAUUAUGAAUUCUCUGUUGAUCCUGAAAUUAUUACUUUAGUUGAAUCUGAUCCUUUUUAUGGCCUUGAAUCUGAAACUGUUGUGGCACUUCUUACCAAGUUGAAUGAUAUAGCUACCCUGUUUACUAAUGAUGAGAAGUCUCGCUAUUUUUAUAUCCUUAAGAUAUUUCCGUUCUCAUUAAAGGGUGAUGCUAAGACUUGGUAUAAUUCUCUUUCUCCUGGUUGUGUGCGUAGUCCUCAGGAUAUGAUUUAUUACUCUCUGCUAAAUAUUUCCCUGCUCAUAAGAAACAAGCUGCCUUGCGGGAAAUAUAAAAUUUUGUGCAAAUCAAAGAAGAGAGUCUCCCACAAGCUUGGGGGAGGCUUCUUCGGUUACUUAAUGCUUUGCCUGAUCAUCCUCUCAAGAAAAAUGAAAUACUUGAUAUCUUUUAUAAUGGACUAACCGAUGCUUCCAAGGACUACUUGGAUAGUUGUGUUGUUUGUGUUUUCAGGGAAAGAACAGUCGAUGAAGCUGAAAUACUAUUGAAUAAUAUGUUGACUAAUGAAAAUAAUUGGACUCUUCCUGAGCCAAUUCCUGAAGUAAUUCCUAAACCAAUUGAGCCAACUCCUGAGCCUAUUCCUAAACCCACUCCGAAGAAGAGAGGUGUUUUAUUUCUCAGUCCUGAAGAUAUGCAAGAGGCAAAGAAAUCAAUGAAAGAAAAAGGUAUUAAAGCUGAAGAUGUUAAGAAUUUACCUCCUAUUGAAGAAAUGCAUGGUUUUAAUAUACCGCCUGAAGAACCACAUUGUCUUGAUAACCUGACACACGUAGUAAAGGUAAAUUCUCUAUAUAUAUAUAUGAUAAAGUUGAAAUUCCCUCUACUAAAUUUCAUAGCCCAUGCUUAGAUGAAUUUGAUGACUUUAUGGCUAGACAAGAAAGUUUUAAUGCUUAUGUUGGUAGAGAGUUAAAGAAUAAUGCUUUCGAGAUAGGACGUGUAAGCGAUAAUCUGGCUAGAGUUAAAGAUGAACUUCACCUCAUUAGCAAAUAUGCUUCUAUGGUUGCUACUCAAGCUGAGCAAGUACUUAAAGCUCAAAAUGACUUGCUUGAAGAAUUAAAUAAUAAAAAAUGACUUUGUUGUUAGAGUGGCUACUAGAACUGGUAGAAUGACUCAGGAACCUUUGUAUCCUGAAGGCCACCCUAAGAGAAUCGAGCAAGAUUCUCAGAGAAAUAAUUUAGAGGCACCUAGUUCUUCCAAAAAGAAGAAGAAAAACGAUAGGACUCUGCAUGCUUCUAGUGAACCUACUGUAGGAACACCUGAGAAUCCCAAUGAUAUUUCUAUUUCUGAUGCUGAAACACAAUCAGGUGAUGAACAUGAACCUAGUGAUAAUGUUAAUGAUAAUGUUCAUGUUGAUGCUCAACCUAGCAAAAACAAUGAUGUAGAGAUUGAACUUGUUGUUGAUCUUGAUAACCCACAAUCAAAGAAUCAACGUUAUGAUAAGAGAGAUUUUGUUGCUAAGAAGCAUGGUAAAGAAAGAGAACCAUGGGUUCAGAAACCCAUGCCCUUUCCUCCUAAACCAUCCAAGUCAAAGGAUGAUGAGGAUUUUGAGCGCUUUGCUGAAAUGAUUAGACCUAUUUUCUUAUGUAUGCGCUUAACUGAUAUGCUGAAAGUAAAUCCUUAUGCUAAGUAUAUGAAGGAUAUCAUCACAAAUAAAAGAAAGAUACCGGAAGCUGAAAUUUCCACCAUGCUUGCUAAUUACACUUUUAAGGGUGGAAUACCAAAGAAACUUGGAGAUCCGGGGGUACCAACUAUACCAUGCUCCAUUAAAAGAAAUUAUGUUAGAACUGCUUUAUGUGAUCUUGGAGCCGGUGUUAGUGUUAUGCCUCUCUCUUUAUAUCGUGGACUUGAAUUGAAUAAGUUGAUACCUAAUGAAAUAUCUUUGCAAAUGGUUGAUAAAUCAACUGCUAUACAUGUCGGUAUUUGUGUGGAUGUGCCUGUUGUGGUUGCAAAUGUCACUAUCUUAACGGACUUUGUUAUUCUUGAUAUUCCCGAGGACGAUAGUAUGCCUAUUAUCCUUGGUAGACCUUUUCUUAAUACUGCAAGGGCUGUUAUUGAUUGCAACAAAGGCAAUGUCACUUUUCAUGUUAAUGGUAGUGAGCAUACGGUACACUUUCCGAGGAAACAAUCUCAAGUUCACAGCAUCAAUUCUAUUGAAAAAGUUCCAACUAUCAUUUUUGGAGGUUUUGAAUUUCCUCUCCCUACUGUCAAGAAAAAGUAUGAUAUUCUUAUUGUUGGGGAUUUUCAUAUCCCCAUUGAGGUAACUUAGUGUUAUUCGAAAUUUCUCCGGUUCUGUGUUAUUCGGAAUAAGUUUGUAAACAAGACUUGAUCAACCUUGUUAGUGGAUUCAUUUUGAUGAUCACGAGAUGGAUGAAACUAGAAGGCACCACCUUCUGUACCUAAUUUUUACUUUCUGUUAUUUAGAAUAAACUAGCAAAAAGGCCCGUGUGUUGCAACGGGGUAAAAAAAUCAUUUCAUAUCUCUAGCCGGGUCAGUUGGACAAACCGUGCGUGGCCGGUUGGCAGGUUAUGAGAUCGAACCCUUCUAUCGGCUAUUUAUUUUUUGCCAGCUCUCCGGACCCGGGCCACAGUGUGCCGUCAGGUGGCUUCCUCCGUUGGGCCAAAACGGGUCGCAAGUAACGAAACCAAAUAGCGUACGUGAAAUUAAUUGAAGUAGGACCAAACGAAACGGGACCAAACCAAGAAUAUCACCUCCCUUUAAUAGUAGGUAUAGAUAAAGCAAAAAUAAUAUUAUCCGUCUGUUUUCUGAAUUAUCCGUGCAAUAGAAAAUAGUCCGAAAAUAAAAGUGCUCCAAAUGCCCUGCAAAUUUAGUAUGAUUUUUUCUGGAAUAUUUGAGGAUUUUAGGCACUGAAAUCACUACAGGAGGGGCAAGCACCAGGCCACGAGAGUGGAGGGCGCCCCCCCCCCCUAUAGGGCGCGCCCCCUGUCUCGUGGGCCCCUGGUGGCCCCCCUCCACUUAUGCCAGCAGCCAAACACUUCAUCUUCUACCCAAAAAAAUCCCCAUCCAGCUCAAGCACGAGUUCUAGCUCGUUUUGCUGCGAUUUUCGAUCUCCUUGCUCAAAGCUCCAUUCACAAAACUACUUUGGGAGAUUGUUUCUUGGUAUGUGACUCCUCCAUUGGUCCAAUUAGUUUUUGUUCUAGUGCUUUAUUCAUUGCAAAUUUUUGCUGCAUAGGUGACCAUGUUCUUGAGCUUGCAUGUUAAAUUUUUGAGGUCCCAAGCAAUUCCAAUGCAUGAUAUAGGCUCUAGGCACUUGUAGGAGUAGUUGCUAUCAAUCUUGUUUAGUUUUAUUCACUAUUAUUUUGAAGUUAAAAAUUUUAGAAAUUUUCAGAAAAAGAAUUAUGCUUAGAAGAAUGUACCAAGGUGGUUCCUCGGCAAAGAAAGGGCCAAGGAUUGCUAUACGUGAGCAAGAUGUUGAAUUGCCGAGGGACGCAAAUGUACGGGCUUGUGAGUGGCCAAUGACUUUAUGGUCGAAGCAGGCUUCAAGGAAGAAUUUGACGCGUAUGUGCGUAAUGCUGAGCUGGAGGACUUCUUACAAGAUAAGUGUCCUCGGUACUAUCAAUUGACUGACUCCUUUGUGCAGAGGUUCCAAUAUAUCUGUGCGCGUAAUUCUCCUAGUGUCAUGUUUGAUAUUUAUGAUACAUCUUAUACCAUGGAUUUAGAGGAUUUCACAACUGCUUGCAAACUCCCGCAGUGGGGUAAUAUUAAUGAUCCUCGUAAAUCUGAAUUUAGAGAUUUUCUUGCUAGUAUUACUAUGGGAGAAUCUAGGGACAUAGCACAAGCUACCAUAGGGAGCAUUCAUUUUCCUGCUAUACAUUAUUUUGCUCUCUUUAUUGGUAGAUGCAUUAACGGUAAGGACGAAGCUUGUCACAUGUGUGUCCCUGAUCUGUGUGUCCUCAAGAGUGUUGUUUCAGGUUAUAAAGGUUAUAACUUGGGGGCAAUAGGUUCACGUAGGUUGCAGAAUAAUAGUAGUGUAGGGGAUUUAUUUGGAGGAAUUUAUGCAACCCGUGUGGCUAAUUUUCUUAAUAUAGCCCCACGAGAGGGGGGUAUGAUUUUACCUCCUGUUUAUUUGGAUAAAUAAGCUAUGUUCAAUCAUCAUUUUCUUGAGAGGAAUGAACAAUUUCUCCAUUAUAGACAAAUCUAUGACAGACGCAACGUCGUCCCUGUUACUCUUCCUGCUCCCUACCUUUUUGAUUAUCAGGCAAAAGGAAGAUAUGUUGUCACCAGGGAAGAAGCAGCUGAAUACGAGAGGGGAAUGGAGGCAGCUCGCCAACACGCUGCAGCUCAGUACAACCCCAGUUUCACUUAUGGACAUCAGCCAGGCGGUCCUUGGUACUAGACCAACUUAGGCCAAAAGCCUAAGCUUGGGGGAGUACGUAUUUCUCACCGACUUUACAUUCAUGUUCACACACUAGUCGUCGGUGCUCAUACUCUUUCAUUGUAUUAUCCAUGCUAGUUUAAAUUUCUUUUUCUAGUUUUCUUCUUGUGUGUUUGAUAAACCUUAAGAAAAACCAAAAAAAUUAGUUAGUUUAAUUUCUUUGCUUGUAGUAGAAAUUAAAAUGAAAACCCAAAAAGAUUUCUUGUUCUUCUUCUUACUUGUUGGGAGCUUUCCCGUGUAAAUAGUUUUAUUUUCUUUUCUUUCCUUUGGGGGUCGAGAAGACCAUAUUGAAAAUGCUUAGUGGCUCUCAUAUGCAUGAUUGUUUAUUUAACUUGGAGCCCAUAUUACUUGUCUUCUCUCUUGAGUUGAAUGCUUGCAGAUUCCAGCUUAGUCCAAUGCACGUGCACUCUUAUUAUUAUACACAUCGUUCGGUCGUGCAAGUGAAAGGCAAUAAUGACGAUAUAUGAUGGACUUAUUGGGAUGAGAAAAGCUGGUAUGAACUCGACCUCUCUUGUUUUUGUAAAUAUGAUGAUUCAUCGUUCCUGAGUCAGCUAUUAUGAAGUAAACAUAUUUGCAAUGACAUUUAGAGAUUAUAGUUGCUUGUGCCAUGCUUGAUUAGCUAUGAGUUAUAAUGGUUUACCUUGCGUGCCAACAUGCUAUUAGAAUGAUUAUGAUGUGAUAUGAUGGGAUGGUAUCCUCCUUUGAAUGAACUGAGUGACUCGACUUGGCACAUGUUCAUGCAUGUAGUUGAAUCAAAUCAACAUAGCCUUCAUGAUAUUUAUGUUCAUGGUGGAUUAUAUCCUACUCAUGCUUGUACUCGGUGUAAAUUAAUUUUAAUGCAUGUUUACGACUGUUGUCGCUCUCUCAGUUGGUCGCUUCCCAGUCUUUUGCUAGCCUUCACAUGUACUAAGCGGGAAUACUGCUUGUGCAUCCAAACUCCUUAAACCCCAAAGUUGUUCCAUAUGAGUCCACUAUACCUUACUAUAUGCGGUAUUUACCUGCCGUUCCAAGUAAAUUUGUAUGUGCCAAACUCUAAACCUUCAAAUGAAAUUCUGUUUUGUAUGCUCGAGCAGCUCAUGUUACAACUAGGGCUGCCUAUAUCUUCCAUGCUAGGUGGGUUAUUCUCAAGAGGAGUGGACUCCGCUCCUCAUUCACGAGAAAGGGCCGGUAACCGGGAUGCCCAGUCCCAUGAUCCAAAAAUAUCAAAGCAAAUCAAAAUAAUUAAACAAAACUCCCCCAGGGAUGUUGUAUGUUGGAGGCACUCGUUGUUUCGAGCAAGCCAUGGAUUGAUGCUUGUUGGUGGUUGGGGGAGUAUAAACCUUUACCAUUCUGUUUGGGGACUGCCUAUAAUGCAUGUAGUAUGAAAGAUAUAGCCAUCUCAUAGUUGUUGCGUUGACAGCGAAAGUAUGCCGCUCAAAAUGUUAUUCAAUCUCUUUUUAAAAUCGAGCUCUAGCACCUCUACAAAUCCCUGCUCCCCUCUGUGAAGGGCCUAUCUAUUUACUUUUAUGCUGAGUCAUCGCCCUUCUUAUUAAAAAGCACCCGCUGGAGAGCACACUGUCAUUUGCAUUCAUUACUAUUGGUUUAUAUUGGGUAUGACUUGACUGGAUCUCUUUUACCAUGAAUUACAAUGUUUAGUCGGUCCUUGAUCUUUAAAGGUGCUCUGCUUUAUGUUUUGCGGUCUCAAAAAGGGCUAGCGAGAUACCAUUUUGUUAUAUCAUGUUAUGAUUAUUUUGAGAAAGUGUUGUCAUCUGAGUUUUAUUAUUAUGGCCUGCUAGCUGAUUAUGUUAUUGAUAUGAGUAAUUGUGAGACCUACGUGUUAUUGUGAGUAUGGUUAGUUCAUAAUAUUUGCUGAAACUUGAAUGUUGGCUUUUCAUGUUACAACAACAAGAGCAACAGAGUUUGUAAAAGUUUUUCUUUAUCACUUUCAGUUUAUCAACUGAAUUGCUUGAGGACAAGCAAAGGUUUAAGCUUGAGGGAGUUGAUAUGUCUCCAACGUAUCUACUUUUCCAAACACUUUUGCCCUUGUUUUGGACUCUAACUUGCAUGAUUUGAAUGAAACUAACCUGGACUGACGCUGUUUUCAGCAGAACUGCCAUGAUGUUGUUUUAUGUGUAGAGAAGGAAAGUUCUCGGAAUGUCCUGAAAAUCCACGGAGGCACUUUUUGGAAUUAAUAAGAUUUUUUGGCGAAAGAAUCAAGACCAGGGGCCAGGGCCUGUCCACGAGACAGGGGGCGCCCCCCCCCCCCCUGUAGGGCACGCCCCCUAUCUUGUGGGCCCCCUGGACCUCCACCGACCUCAACUCCAACUCCAUAUAUUCAUGUUCGGGGAGAAAAAAAUCAGAGACAAAGUUUCAUCACGUUUUACGACACGGAGCCGCCGCCAAGCCCUAAUCUCUCUCAGGAGGGCUGAUCUAGAGUCUGUUCGUGGCUCCGGAGAGGAGGAUUCGUCGCCAUCGUAAUCAUCAACCAUCCUCCAUCACCAAUUUCAUGAUGCUCAUCGUCGUGCGUGAGUAAUUCCAUCAUAGGCUUGCUAGACAGUGAUGGGUUGGAUGAGAUUUACCAUGUAAUCAAGUUAGUUUUGUUAGGGUUUGAUCCCUAGUAUCCACUAUGUUCUGAGGUUGAUGUUGCUAUGACUUUGCUAUGCUUAAUGCUUGUCACUAGGGCCCAAGUGCCAUGAUUUCAGAUCUGAACCUAUUAUGUUUUCAUGAAUAUAUGUGUGUUCUUGAUCCUAUCUUGCAAGUCUAUAGUCACCUAUUAUGUGUUAUGAUCUGACAACCCCGAAGUGACAAUAAUCGGGAUACUUCUCGGUGAUGACCGUAGUUUGAGGAGUUCAUGUAUUCACUAUGUGCUAAUGCUUUGUUCCGGUUCUCUAUUAAAAAGGAGGCCUUAAUAUCCCUUAGUUUUCGCUAGGACCCCACUUCCACGGGAGGGUAGGACAAAAGAUGUCAUGCAAGUUCUUUUCCAUAAGCAUGUAUGACUAUUUAUGGAAUACAUGCCUACAUUACAUUGAUGAAUUGGAGCUAGUUCUAUAUCACCCUAUGUUAUAACUAUUGCAUGAGGAAUCGCAUCUGGCAUAAUUAUCCAUCACUGAUCCAUCGCCUACGAGCUUUUCAUAUAUUGUUCUUCGCUUAUUUACUUUUCUGUUGCUACUGUUACAACUACUACAAAAACCUAAAAAUGUUUAUCUUUACUUUUGCUACUAUUACCUUUAUUAUCAUACCACUUUUGCUACUAAAUACUUUGCUGCAGAUACUAAGUUAUCCAGGUGUGGUUGAAUUGACAACUCAACUGCUAAUACUCAAGAAUAUUCUUUGGCUCCCCUUGUGUCGAAUCAAUAAAUUUGGGUUGAAUACUUUACCCUCGAAAGCUGUUGCGAUCCCCUACGCUUGUGGGUUAUCAGUUUGGUUAUCUUGUGAAAUCUGGAUUCCUUUGCCAAGGCAAUUGCUCCAGUAUUGUCACAAAAAAAUUCAUUGGACCCGAUGCACUAGGUAUAACACCUAUAUCGGAUAUGAACUCCUUCAUCCAGACUCCUUCAUUUGCUACUUCUGAAGAAGCUAUAUACUCCGCUUCACACGUAGAUCCCGCCACGAUGCUCUGCUUGGAACUGCACCAACUGAUAGCUCCACCAUUCAAUAUAAAUACGUACACGGUUUGUGACUUAGAGUCAUCGGUCUCAUUGUCAAAGCUAGCAUCGACGUAACCAUUUACGAUGAGCUCUUUGUCACCCUCAUAAACAAGAAACAUAUGCUUAGUCCUUUUCAGGUAUUUCGGGAUGUUCUUGACCGUUGUCCAGUGAUCCACUCUUGGAUUACUUUGGUACCUCCAUGCUAAACUUAUAGCAAGGCACACAUCACGUCUAGUACACAGCAUUGCAUACAUGAUAGAACCUAUGGCUGAGGCAUAGGGAAUGAGUUUCAUUUUCUCUCUAUCUUUUGUAGUGGUCGGGCAUUGAGUCUGACUCAACUUCACACCUUGUAACACAGGCAAGAACCCUUUCUUUGACUGAUCCAUUUUGAACUUCUUCAAAACUUUAUCUAGGUAUGUGCUUUGUGAAAGUCCAAUUAAGCGUCUUGAUCUAUCUCUAUAGAUUUUGAUGCCCAAUAUAUAAGCAACUUCAUCGAGGUCUUUCAUUGAAAAAUUCUCAUUCAAGUAUCCUUUUAUGCUAUCCAGAAAUUCUAUAUCAUUUCCAAUCAACAAUAUGUCAUCCACAUAUAAUAUUAGAAAUGCUACAGAGCUCCCACUCACUUUCUUGUAAAUACAGGCUUCUCCAAAAGUCUGUAUAAUACCAUAUGCUUUGAUCACGCUAUCAAAGUGUAUAUUCCAACUCCGAGAGGCUUGCACCAGUCCAUAAAUGGAUUGCUGGAGCUUGCACACUUUGUUAGCACCUUUAGGAUCGACAAAACCUUCUGGUUGCAUCAUAUACAACUCUUCUUUAAGAAAUCCAUUAAGGAAUGCAGUUUUUACAUCCAUUUGCCAAAUUUCAUAAUCGUAAAAUGCGGUAAUUGCUUACAUGAAUCAGACAGACUUAAGCAUCGCUACGGGUGAGAAGGUCUCAUCGUAGUCAACUCCUUGAACUUGUCAAAAAACCUUCGCAACAAGUCAAGCUUUGUAGACACUAACAUUACCGUCAGCGUCAGUCUUCUUCUUGAAGAUCCAUUUAUUUUCUAUUGCUUGCCGAUCAUCGGGCAAGUCAACCAAAGUCCAUACUUUGUUCUCAUACAUGGAUCCCAUCUUAGACUUCAUGGUCUCAACCCAUUUUGCAGAAUCUAGGCUCAUCAUCGCUUCCUCAUAGUUUGUAGGUUCGUCAUGGUCCAGUAACAUGACUUCCAGAACAGGAUUAUCGUACCACUCUGGUGCGGAACAUACUCUGGUUGACCUACGAGGUUCGGUAGUAACUUGAUCUGAAGUUUCAUGAUCAUCAUCAUUAGCUUCCUCACUAGUUGGUGUAGGCAUCACUGGAACUGAUUUCUGUGAUGAACUAUUUACCAACUCAAGAGAAGGUACAAUUACCUCAUCAAGUUCUACUUUCCUCCCACUCACUUCUUUCGAGAGAAACUCCUUCUCUAGAAAGGAUCCAUUUUUAGCAACAUAUAUCUUGCCUUCGGCUCUGUGAUAGAAGGUGUGCCCAACAGUUUCUUUUGGGUAUCCUAUGAAGACGCACUUCUCCGAUUUGGGUUCGAGCUUAUCGGGCUGAAGCUUUUUCACAUAAGCAUCGCAACCCCAAACUAUAAGAAACGACAGCUUAGGUUUCUUGCCAAACCAUAGUUCAUACGGUGUCGCCUCAACGGAUUUAGAUGGUUCCCUAUUUAACGUGAAUGCAGCUGUCUCUAAUGCAUAACCCCAAAACGAUAGUGGUAAAUCGGUAUGAGACAUCAUAGAUCGCAUCAUAUCUAAUAAAGUACGGUUACGACGUUUGGACACACCAUUUGGUGUUCCAUGUGGCGUGAGUUGCGAAAGUAUUCCACAUUGUUUUAAAUGAAGACCAAACUCGUAACUCAAUUAUUCGCCUCCGCGAUCAGAUCGUAGAAACUUUAUUUUCUUGUUACGAUGAUUUUCCACUUCACUCGGAAAUUCUUUGAACUUCUCAAAUGUUUCAGACUUGUGUUCCAUUAAGUAGAUAUACCCAUAUCUGCUCAAAUCAUCUAUGAAGGUCAGAAAAUAACGAUACCCGCCACGAGCCUCAACACUCAUCGGACCGCAUACAUUAGUAUGUAUUAUUUCCAAUAAGUCAGUGGCUCGCUCCAUUGUUUCGGAGAACGGAGUCUUAGUCAUCUUGCCCAUGAGGCAUGGUUCGCAAGCAUCAAGUGAUUCCAAAACCCAUUUGCAUGGAGUUUCUUCAUGCGCUUUACACCAAUAUGACCUAAAUGGCAGUGCCACAAAUAAGUUGCACUAUCAUUAUUAACUUUGCAUCUUUUGGCAUCAACAUUAUGAAUAUGUGUAUCACCACGAUCGAGAUUCAACAAAAAUAGACCACUCAUCAAGGGUGCAUGACCAUAAAAGAUAUUACUCAUAUAAAUAGAACAACCAUUAUUCUUUGAUUUAAAUGAAUAACCAUCUCGCAUCAAACAAGAUCCAGAUAUAAUGUUCAUGCUCAACGCUGGCACCAAAUAACAAUUAUUCAAGUCUAAAACUAAUCCCGAAGGUAGAUGUAGAGGUAGCGUGCCGACGGCGAUCACAUCGACCUUGGAACCAUUUCUGACGCGCAUCGUCACCUCGUCCUUAGCCAAUCUUUGUUUAAUCCGUAGCCCCUGUUUCAAGUUGCAAAUAUGAGCAACAGAACCAGUAUCAAAUACCCAGGUGCUACUACGAGCAUUAGUAAGGUACACAUCAAUAACAUGUUUAUCAAAUAUACCUUUCACUUUGCCAUCCUUCUUAUCCGCCAAAUAUUUGGGGCAGUUCCGCUUCCAGUGACCAGUCCCUUUGCAGUAGAAGCACUCAGUUUUAGGCUUAGGUCUAGACUUGGGCUUCUUCCCGGGAGCAGCAACUUGCUUGCUAUUCUUCUUGAAGUUCCCCUUCUUUCAUUUGCCCUUUUUCUUGAAACUAGUGGUCUUGUUAACCAUCAACACUUGAUGCUCCUUCUUGAUUUCUACCUCCACGGCCUUGAGCAUUGCAAAGAGCUCGGGAAUCGUCUUGUUCAUCCCUUGCAUAUUAUAGUUCAUCAUGAAGCCUUUAUAGCUUGGUGGCAGUGAUUGAAGAACUCUGUAAAUGACACUAUCAUCUGGAAGAUUAACUCCCAACUGAGUCAAGUGGUUAUGGUACCCAGACAUUCUGGGUAUGUGUUCACUGACAGAACUGUUCUCCUCCAUCUUGCAGCUAUAUAACUUGUUGGAGACUUCAUAUCUCUCAACUCGGGCAUUUCCUUGAAAUAUUAACUUCAACUCCUUGAACAUCUCAUAUGCUCCAUGACGUUCAAAAUGUCUUUGAAGUCCCGAUUCUAAGCCGUAAAGCAUGGCACAUUGAACUAUUGAGUAGUCAUCAAAUUUAGCUUGCCAGACGUUCAUAACGUCAGCAGUUGCUCCUGCAGCAGGCCUCACACCUAGCAGUACAUCAAGGACGUAAUUCUUCUGUGCAGCAAUGAGGAUAAUCCUCAAGUUACGGACCCAGUCCGUGUAGUUGCUACCAUCAUCUUUCAACUUAGCUUUCUCUAGGAACGCAUUAAAAUUCAAGGGAAUGGUAGCACGGGCCAUUGAUCUAUGACAUAGAUAUGCAAAAACUAUCAGGACUAAGUUCAUGAUAAAUUAAAGUUCAAUUAAUCAUAUUACUUAAGAACUCCCACCUAGAUAGCCAUCCCUCUAGUCAUCUAAAUGAUCAUGUGAUCCAUAUCAACUAAACCAUGUCCGAUCAUCACGUGAGAUGUAGUAGUUUUCAAUGGUGAACAUCUCUAUGUUGAUCAUAUCUACUAUAUGAUUCAUGUUACCUUUCGGUCUCAGUUUUUCGAGGCCAUGUCUGUACAUGCUUGGCUCGUCAAGUUUAACCCGAGUAUUCUGCACGUGCAAAACUGUCUUGCACCCACUUUAUGUGAACGUAGAGCUUAUCACACCCGAUCAUCACGUGGUGUCUUGGCACGACGAACUGUCGCAACGGUGCAUACUCAGGGAGAACACUUAUACCUUGAAAUUUAGUGAGGGGUCAUAUUAUAAUGCUAGCGUCGUACUAAGCAAAAUAAGAUGCAUAAAAGAUAAACAUCACAUGCAAUCAAAAUAUGUGACAUGAUAUGGCCAUCAUCAUCUUGUGCCUUUGAUCUCCAUCUCCAAAGCACCAUCAUGAUCUUCAUCGUCACCUGCUUGACACCUUGAUCUCCACGUAGCAUCAUUGUCGUCUCGCCAACUAUUGCUUCUACAACUAUCGCUAACGCAUAGUGAUAAAGUAAAGCAAUUACAUGGCGACUGCAUUUCAUACAAUAAAGCGACAACCAUAAGGCUCCUGCCAGUUGCCGAUAACUUCUACAAAACAUGAUCAUGUCAUACAAUAACGUAUAUCACAUCAUGUCUUGACCACAUCACAUCACAACAUGCCCUGCAAAAACAAGUUAGACGUCCUCUACUUUGUUGUUGCAAGUUUUACGUGGCUGCUACGAUCUUCUAGUAAGAACCGUUCUUACCUACGCAUCAAAACUACAACGAUUAUUUGUCAAGUGUGUUGUUUUAACCUUCAACAAGGACCGGUCGUAGUCAAAUCAAUUCAACUAAAGUUGGAGAAACAGACACCCGCCAGCCACCUUUAUGCAAAACAAGUUGCAUGUCUGUCAGUGGAACCGGUCUCAUGAACGCGGUCAUGUAAGGUUGGUCCAGGCCGCUUCAUCCAACAAUAUCGCCGAAUCAAAAUAAGAUGUUGGUGGUAAGCAGUAUGACUAUGAUUGCCCACAACUCUUUUUGUUCUACUCAUGCAUAUCAUCUACGCAUAGACCUGGCUUGGAUGCCACUGUUGGGGAACACAGCAUGCAAUUUCAAAAAAAUUCCUACGAUCACGCAAGAUCUCUCUAGAAGAUGCAUAGCAAAGAGAGGGGGAGUGUUCCCAUGUACCCUCGUAGACUGAAAGCGGACAUCUUCACGAUCCAAUCGAUCAAGUACCGGACAUACGACACCUCUGAGUUCAGCACACGUUCAGCUUGAUGACGUCCCUCGAACUCUUGUUCCAGUAGAGGGUUGAGGGAGAGAUUCAUCAGCACGAUGGCAUGGUGACGGUGAUGGUGAUGUGAUCGGCGUAGGGCUUCGCCUAAGCACUAUGACGCUAUGACCAGAGGAGUAAACUGUGGAGGGGAGCACCGCACAUGGCUAAGAGAACAAUUCAUGUCCUAUGGGGUGCCCCCUGCCCCCCUAUAUAAAGGAGGAGGGGAGGAGGCCGGCCACAAGGGGCGCACCAUGGGGGGAGUCCUACCAGGACUCCAAACCUANNNNNNNNNNNNNNNNNNNNNNNNNNNNNNNNNNNNNNNNNNNNNNNNNNNNNNNNNNNNNNNNNNNNNNNNNNNNNNNNNNNNNNNNNNNNNNNNNNNNNNGGAUAAAGGGGAAAGGAGAGGGAGGAGGAAAGGGAAAGGGGGACGCGCCCCCUCCCCUAGUCCAAUUCGGACUUCCCAUGGGAGGGGGCGCGGCCACCCCUUCUGGGCUGCCUCCUCUCUCCCCUAUGGCCCAUAGUGGCCCGUUACUUUCCCCGGGGGGGGGGGGGGUCCGAUAACCUCCCGGUACUCCGAAAAAUACCCGAAACGAUCGGGAACCAUUCCGGUGUCCGAAUACUAUCGUCCAAUAUAUCAAUCUUUACAUCUCGACCGUUUUGAGACUCCUCGUCAUGUCCGUGAUCUCAUCCGGGACUCCAAACAAUCUUCGGUCACCAAAACACAUAACUCAUAGUACAAAUCGUCACCGAACAUUAAGCAUGCAGACCCUACGGGUUCGAGAACUAUGUAGACAUGACCGAGACAUAUCUCCGAUCAAUAACUGACAGCGGAACCUGGAUGCUGAUAUUGGUUCCUACAUAUUCUACGAAGAUCUUUAAUGGUCAAACCGCAUGACAACAUACGUCAAUCCCUUUGUCAUCGGUAUGUUACUUGCCCGAGAUGCGAUCGUCGGUAUCUUCAUACCUAGUUCAAUCUCGUUACCGGCAAGUCUCUUUACUCGUUCCAUAAUGCAACAUCCCGCAACUAACUCAUUAGUCACAUUGCUUGCAAGGCUUAUCCUGAUGUGCAUUACCGAGAGGGCCUAGAGAUACCUCUCCGAUACUCGGAGUGACGAAUCCUAAUCUCGAUCUAUGCCAACCCAACAAACACCUUCGGAGACACCUGUAGAUCAUCUUUAUAAUCAUCCAGUUACGUUGUGAUGUUUGAUAGCACACAAGGUGUUCCUCCGGUAUACGGGAGUUGCAUGAUCUCAUAGUCAAAGGAAUAUGUAUAAGUCAUGAAGAAAGCAAUAGCAAUAAAACUUAAUGAUCAUUAUGCUAAGCUAACAGAUGGGUCUUGUCCAUCACAUCAUUCUCCUAAUGAUGUGAUCCCAUUCAUCAAAUGACAACACAUGUCUAUGGUUAGGAAACUUAACCAUCUUUUAUUAACGAGCUAGUCAAGAAGAGGCAUACUAGGGACACUUUGUUUUGUCUAUGUAUUCACACAUGUAUCAAGUUUCCGGUUAAUACAAUUCUAGCAUGAAUAAUAAACAUUUAUCAUGGUAUGAGGAAGUAUAAAUAACAACUUUAUUAUUGCCUCUAGGGCAUAUUUCCUUCAGAGAAUUCACAUAUGUCCUCGAGAAUGCUUUGCUUACUAUAAGAGAACUCUUCGGCUUAUCCUUUGUUGUAAAAAGGAUUGGGCCACCUUCCUGCACGUUUGUUACUGGUGUCACUUGUUACUUGUUACAAAUUAUCUUGCUAUCAAACUACUUGUUAUCGCUGCUUUCAGUACCAGCAGAAAAUACCAUGCGGAAAACCGCUUAUCAUUUCCUUUCGCUCCUCGUUGGGUUCGAUACUCUUACUUAUCGAAAGGACUAGAUUUAUCCCCUAUACUUGUGGGUCAUCAUAGGUUUUUUUAGGGCAUCCAAAUUGUGAUAAGAGGAAAUAAGGGACUAUCUUAGGUGAUUGCAAGAUUCAUUAAGAUUUUAUUUUCUUUUGUAUCCAAGGGCUCCAUUUGUCGAGGUGUAAGGAGCAUGAGUUAUUCGGGAGAAGAGAUACGAGUACCUUGCACUUGUCAUGUAAACAACUUGAGUUAUCCAUGUGGGAACCAUUGUGCUAGUAAAGGAGCAGACUCCGUAUUUAACGCUAGAAAGAGCAUCAACUACUUUAUUUUAUUUAUCAUUUUUGUAUUCCACAAAGAAUGUAUAUCAUAGUAACUUGAUUAAGAGCUUAUGAUGGACUCCUUCAUAAAACUUUUGUUCUGGCAUAUGUUCAAGAUUUUCUUGGUUUGUUCUCAUGAUCAAGGAGGAAACAACAAAGUAGUGUCUCCAUUUUUGUGAUGCCUUCAAACUUGCUAAAGCUUACUUGUCAUAAGUUGAAAGGGCAACGGUUAUAGGUCAAGUUGCUUUGCUAAGAAAAGAGAUAGGCUUUCUACUCUGCAUUAAGACUGCUCCAGUGCCAUAUUUGGGAGCAUUUGCUUCUAGGGCAAAUGGGAGAGGAUUUUGAGCAUCAUAAGAACUUGUGCUUGUGUCAUAUGUUGCUCAAGUGCAGUAAAAUCAACUUCUUGGUAAUCUGAGUAUACAAAUCCCUCUUUCUUCAUUGCUUCAAAAAGUGGUUUGCAAAAUAUGCCAUAAUUGAGAGACAUUUUCAAGUAUUUUCAAGUAUAGGCUAGUUAGAAAAGGCUUUAUUAUUUGUAGGGCCAGUGGCCACCCCACCUCUAGUGAUGACGUGGCCACGACAUUCAACUUGUGGUUGAGCAAAAAAUUGUUUAUUUGCUUGAAGCAUAGUUUCUUGUCUCUCGGUGUACUAACUACAAUUCGGAAGUGUUGCUAGUGUUCUUCCGUAUAUUUGUUAUAGGUCAGAAUGUCAUCAAAGAAUACUAAUAGAAAUUUUCCCAAAAUGGUGUCAACAUUGUGUUCAUUCAUUCAUUAUUGAAAAGUUUUUGGUGCAUUAGUGAGGCCCAAACAACAUAACCAAAUACUCAUAAUAGCCAGGUGUGUGCUAAAUGUAAUUUUAUCAAUAUCUUCCUCUUUCAUUCUGAUUUGAUUAUAUCUACUUCUGAGGUCAAUUCUUAAGAAAAUCAAUGCCCCAUUGAGCUCAUCUCCUUGGAUCGGCUAGCAUGUGAAUUUACUCUAGAGUUUUCCUCCAUUGGCAAUAGUGCCUGGACUUUCUUAAGAGGAGUGAUCUAACAUGUGCAGUUAAGUGUGCUAGUUGAAAAGUGAUGGUACCGCCACUAUCUACUAAAGUAGUGGCCUUUGUGGAGACAACGAUAAAAGUUAAAGUGGAUAUGUUUUUGAUUUUUCUCACUAGGGUCUCCAUGAACUUCAUGCAUUCAGAUCUAAAGUUGUGGUUAUUGAUGCUCUUUUCUUGUAGUUCAGUGUCAUCAUUCGCAUUAACAAUAUAAAUUAUUUUAUGGUUUCUGAACAUUGAUCUUGCAAUGCUUGAAUUCGACACUUUUGUGUUAGCUUCCAGACCUUUAUGAGGUAGAUUGUAGACAUGUUUGUUCCCUGGAAAGCAAGUCACUGCAAAUGCCCUUAAGUCUGGCUUGUUGUACUGUAGCAGUUGAUGUAAUGGGUGUUAUAUUGACAGGAAUAGUAGCUGGCCUAGGAUGAUAAACAGUGACUUGUCUGCUUGCUUUUGUGUAGAUGGUUUGAGGGUGGUUGGUGGAAUAGGUCAAGAUUCUUGAAUCCUUCUACCAUCCCACAUAAUUUGUCGCAUGUAUUAAAGCUCAUGACAUUCCAAGUGGCUCUAGAUGUGGGGUCUUAACCUAGAAAUGAUAUUGUGCAUAUAGUAAUCAUUGUGUGUAUAUGGCAAGGUUAUCCCACCUAAGAAGAUUAAUUGUUGUGUCAAAUUUGGUAAUAUAUAGGGACAGUGAACAAGUUAGUGAGAAAGUGAAAAAUAUUUGGCAUUUUCAUAGACUGAAGUUUCAGAAAUCUUUUGUCUGGACCCCGACUCAAUGCCACAUCGAUCUAGCAUGUAACACCUCAUAUCACUUUGCAGCCUCACGCAUGGUAUCCCCACGGGUGUCGCCUUACCUUUGCCCGGGACCGUUUACGCCUUUUGGCACACGUAUAUGAUAGUGUCGCUAGCAUCCAUAUGAUAAGGAGCCCGGGCUGACAUGGCUAGUCGUAAACCCAAAGUGGCACAAACUUACAGGGACAGGCAUCCAUGACCCAGCAUCGAAUGUGUCGGUCAUCAGCGAGUGAAUCCAGGCUGUGGCACUGGGCUAGCAGGACUCUGGUGAACCGGGCUGUAGCGGGCUAACAGGACUCCGAUAUUCAUCGCGUGACAUUUCCCCGAAAGGGACAGACAUAGGAACGAAGAAGGACACAUGCCGGCCAGCCUAAGUGUUCCAGAGCAGUAGCAAGCUACCAUGGCUCAGUGGAAGCACUAGGAGACAUUUCCCGGUAAGAGAGGCUACUAAGGAUAAACAACUAGAUAGUCAGAUCCCACACAUACCAAGCAUUUCAAUAACAUACACACAAUAUGCUCGAUAUGUGCAAAUACAACAUGGCAUCACAACAUGACUCUACAACUCAAGUAUUUUAUUCAAUAGGCUCCGAGGAGCGAGAUAUUACAAGCAUGGGUCUCAUGACCCAACAUUCAGAGCAUACAGAUCAAGCACAUGCGGAAGCUUAUCAUGUCUGAGUACAGACAUCUAUAAAUGAAAAAGGCUGAGAAGCCUGACUAUCUACCAGGUCCUGCCGAGGGCACAAGAUCGUAGCUGAGGUAACAAGCUAAACGUCGAAGUCCACGUGAAACUACUAGCGAGACUGAAGUCUCUCUGCAAAAACAUAAAAUAGGCAAACGUGAGUACAAAUGUACCCAGCAAGACUUACAUCAGAACUAACUACAUAUGCAUCAUUAUCAACAAAGGGGGUGGUGGGGUUUUACUGCAGCAAGCCAGCUUUGACUCAGUGGCCAUCCUAAACUACGAUUGCAAGUAACUCUUUUGAGGUGGCGCACACGAGUCCACAUAUUCACCAUAUCAAUACACCACUAUGGAUCCGCAGCCGUCUCCCUACGAGAACGCCAUCCAUAGCACUCACGCUUAUCUUGCAUAUUUUAGAGUAUCCACUUUCACUUGUCUAUGAACUGUACAAGCAACCCAGAAGUCCUUUACCGCGGACACGGCUAUUCGAAUAGAUAAUGUUAACCCUGCAGGGGUGUACUUCUUCACACACGCUCUCACCACUUACAGCCAUGUACACCUCGUGUAUCUCGGCAACCUUCAAGCGGAAGCCUGGCGAGGGAGUCGGCCACGACCUGACUAACCACACAAGUCUCUCGUCCAGGUUUAUCGCCUAUUCGGGUUCCACCCGCAAGGAGAUCCGGCCGGGGUGUCGCUCACGGCCCCAAACGAUGUGAGCAGGGUUCCCAAGCCCACCAUCCGGGUGCCACUUGGUACACCGUGCCACUGUGCCUAGUCUGUCCCAAGCCCACCUGUACCGGGUGCCACUUGGUAGACUACUAACACUACCUAGAAACACCAGAAACUAGUUGCAGCUCCUGGACAGAGAUCAAGUUGAUUAAUAAGUCGAGAGGGGUCGAGUUACCGGAACCCAAUGUGUGGUAGUAACUGUUCAUGGAUCGCAAACACAGAACUCAGUUCCUGAGGACGGCUGCAAUGAGACAACCCACCAUGUACUCCUACAUGGCCUCUCACCACUACCUUUAUCAAAUCGUGUUCACACACUUAGCUCUCAACAGUAGGACAUGUUCACUGCAUUCCAAUUCAUCACCGAUGAAUCAGACCUGACUCAACUCUAAGCAGUAGCAAGCAUGACAACAAGCAUGAAUGAGUAGGCACAUCAGGGCUCAAACAACUCCUACUCAUGCUAGUGGGUUUCAUCUAUUUACUGUGGCAAUGACAUGCAGAGGAUAAAGGGGUUCAACUACCGCAGUAAGUAACAGUUGAAUCGUUGUUGUCCUAAUGCAGUAAAAGAGAGCAGGAGCAAGAGAGUGGGAUUGUAUCGGAAUGAACAAGGGGGUUUUGCUUGCCUGGCACUUCUGAAGAUAAUAUAGUUCUUCAUCGGUGUCAUCGAUCACAUCGUCGGUACACGUUUACUGAGAGGGGACAAACACCGACAAACAAAGAAGAAACACAAUCAAUGCAAUGCACAAUAUGAUGCAUGAUCAUGACAUGGCAAUAUGCUGUGGUUUGAGCUAACGCAUCUAGCAGCAGGUUAAAUGAAGUUGGAUUGAAUCCAAGAUUCAAAUUCAAACUCCAUAUGUGGAUAUUAAAAUGCCAUUUAAAUGAUUUGUGCUAAUCAGCAGCUAUAAGUUGUUCUAACAUGCAUGAAAAUGGUACAGAUGGAUAGAUUGGAUUUUUCUGAUCAUUUUUCAUAUGUAAUUUAUUUCAUUUGGAGUUACGGUUGAAUUUCUAUGAUUUUUAGAAGUUUGUGGUAUUUUCUGGAAUUUCCUGUAUAUAAAUAAAUCCAGAAAAUACUUAUCGCGUCAGCAUUGCGUUACUAUGAUGUCAGCGGUCAACGAGGCCGGUCCAGGUCAAACCUUGCCAGUGGGGUCCCCUAGUCAGUGGCUAACUAACUAACCUAGUUUAAUUAGCACUAACCUAGGUUAGACUAACUAAGUUUAAACCUAAACUAGUUUAAUUAGCCGGGCGGGGCCCGCAUGUCAUAGACCCAGGGAUGGUCAAAUCCCCUGGUCAACCGGGGCUAAACCACCGGCGGUCAAAGCGGUCAACCCGCCGGCGUUUAGCCGCCGGCGAGGCUGAACGUGGCGGAGGGCUCGGGAUUGCUCCUCCGGCGCCCAAAUAGACAGCUGAGAGCGGCUACGAGGAGUUGAAGCUCACCCGCUCCCGUUGCGGCAAGCAGCAGCAGCUAGGGCCGCCGGAGACGAUAGCCACGAGCUCAGCAGCGGCGGCCGGAGCUCUGGCGUGCCCGGUGCGGCGGUAGGAUGCACGACAGGGGACGCGGAGAGGUGCUGCAGGCUCCUGGGGGUGUGGCGAAUGCGGUGACGUGCUCGGGUUCGAGCCCGCGUGGCUGUGGCCACGACGGCGGCGUGCAGAGGCGGCGGCGCGUGCGGGUGCGGGUGGCGCGGUGGCUACGGCGUGUGGCAGAGAGAACAAAGAGGGUGGGGACGGUCAGUGGCUUACAGCGAGCACGAAGAGCGGGUCUACGAGCUCGGGGAGGGGCUGAUGGAGACGGAAGGUCGCCGGCGAUCUCGGAGGCCAAACAACGAAGACGAGGUCAGGGACGACGUUGCAGAACUCCCGCAGUCGAACGGGUUGGCGUAGACGAUGCAGGAGACGAUGGCGGUUCUUCUGGGCUUAUCGACAGGGCGAGGGGUGGCCGGUGGCCACGGUGGUUCUCGUCGGCGGCGGCGGGCGCGUUCGGUGAGGAGAACAGAGGAGGGGGAGAGCGUUCGGGGGAGAGAGGGGAGAGGUGCAGAGGGUCCGGGGGGUGCGUGGCGACGUCCUGGGCGUCGAGGCAGCGGCGGGAAGCAGGAGGUGGCCAGGCGCGUGGGCGCGCGCGCCGGGCACGCGCUCGUCCUCCUGGCAGAGGAGGAAGACGACAGGGGAGGAGGCGGUGGUGGGCUGGGCCGCCAGCUGGGCCGGCCAGGUGGGCUGCACGAGUGAGGCCAGGUAUUAACUCUCUCUCUCUCUCUUAUUUAUUGUUUUCUAUUUUUCUGCAACUUUGUGGCUUUACUAAAAAUAUCUAGGCAUUUUCAAAAAUCACCAAACUAUGCAUGCCCAAUGUUUAGAAUAUAUCCAACAUGGAACAUUUCAGUUUAGGAGUAUUUGGACAUUUAAAAUAUUUUAUAGAAUUUAAAUAUCCAAAUUCAAAUACUUAUGAUUUAAUUCAGUGACCUUAGGAUGACCUAGAAAAUUGUGCAUCAUUUAGUCAGAGGUUUAAGACCAAGGCAAAGAUGAUGAACAUUUUAGAAGGGCAUUUCAGGUUCAUUGAAAAUGAUUUUAUGUUGAACCUAUUUGAUUUGAUCUGGUGCUAGGGUUUGAUCAGCCCCCAUUUCAAGUUAAAUAGAAUUUAAACAUGAUGCACACAUGAAGCUAACCUAGUGCAAAGGCAGAAGCUAGGGAUGUGACAAAUUCAAAUAUUUGCAGAAUAUGUGCCACACCAGCGUGAAAAUGGAAAAUCUAGUGUCCAUUCACCACUAAAUUGAAUGCAAUUUGACAUAUGACUCAACAAAUUAUGUUCUCUCAUCAAGGGAUUUACUGGAGGAGUCAAAAUAUUGUUCACAUUCUGAAUCUAGGAGUCAACAUUAGUGCCAUCGAACUCGAUGAUAUUCAUUCUAGCAUGUUUCAUAGUCAGUGUGCUUCUUCGUUAGUCGGUAGGGGUCUAAGGCCUGCAUGUAGGAGUACCCCUUCUGAAACCACCUUAUUGUGGCUCUUCAUCGGAAAGAUAGUCCUCUAGCCAUCGUUGAAUUUUUUGACUUGUGGUUCCACUUGAUCUUAUUUGUUUGCAACAUGGAUAGGGUGCCAAUAAGGCAUCUUGGAAGCUCCAUCCAUAUUCAACUCCCUUUCCCGGUGAUAAUGUGACACCUGAGAGCCUGAAGUGAAUGCAUGUUGCUUGUCUAGAGCAAUGUUGUGUAGAACAAGCUAUUUGGGAUGGCCCACAUGAUUAAUAUUUUAGGAUUGAUGAUGGGGUUGUGUUGUUGGGCACUCCCCCAUGCAGGUCGACCAACUGGGUCUUCAAUCUCUUCUUCGUUAGGGAUUUCCUUGAGAGUGGCUGGAAUUUCUCAAAGUUUUUUUGGAUGCUUGCAAAGUUCUUGUUCACAUAUCGAGUUGCAGGGAUUCAAGCUUGAGAUUGUCCAUGCCAACCAAAUUAGAGAUCUUCGUCAUGUUGCAAUAGGGAAGGUUUAAAUUGUAGGCUACACCUCAUCUAAGUGCUUUGGUCCAUACAAACAUGUCGGACAUGAGACAAGGGAAAACCCAUGUUAUUCGCAAACCCUCAAAUCUAGCCCAUAUAUGUGAGAAGAAAAUGAAACCCCAUAUGUCCAUACAAACAUGUCGGACAUGAGAGACAAGGGAAAAAACCAUGUUGUUCGCAAACCCUCAAAUCCAGCUCAUAUUAUGUCAGAAGAAAAUGAAGACGUCGAGGGUGUCCAAACAGCCCACCAUGUCCGGGACUACAGUUUCUCUUUAUUUAUUUUUCUUCUCUCUCGGCGUCCACAGCAAUCAUAUGCAUGUGUCCAAACAACUUCGGAACAAGAUUGCGUCCACGAACAAAUGAGGGUUUGCCCCCACCCCCGACCCACCCACCGCAAAAGCUCCACAGAACUAGUGCUUGUUAUCUGAGUUUUGACAUUAGAAGCACGUACUAGUUGGGGAUGGUUGAGUCGAUACAUGAAUAAAUUAUGCCGCUGACAUGGUGCCGAAGAGCGCUGCUCUUACAAUACACAUACAUACAGGGUAGGCAACACCUACAACGGGGCCUGCCUACAGCACCAACCGACUGAUCUAUGGUAUACACGAUAUAGCAUCAACACCGGGAAAUAUGUCCCCCGCAACAGGAAGG
rnacentral:lncRNA from 1 species